CGAAGGUGCAAGCGUUACUCGGAAUUACUGGGCGUAAAGCGUGCGUAGGUGGUUCGUUAAGUCUGUCGUGAAAGCCCCGGGCUCAACCUGGGAAUGGCGAUGGAUACUGGCGAGCUAGAGUGCGGUAGAGGAGAGUGGAAUUCCCGGUGUAGCAGUGAAAUGCGUAGAGAUCGGGAGGAACAUCAGUUGCGAAGGCGGCUCUCUGGACCAGCACUGACACUGAGGCACGAAAGCGUGGGGAGCAAACAGGAUUAGAUACCCUGGUAGUCCACGCCCUAAACGAUGCGAACUGGACGUUGGGAGCAAUCAGGCUCUCAGUGUCGAAGCUAACGCGUUAAGUUCGCCGCCUUGGGAGUACGGUCGCAAGACUG
rnacentral:rRNA from 1 species